UAAAAAAAACUUCAAUUGCUUCGCCUUUUUACUUCGGCGACAGUUGCCGUCGCAAUUGACACCCUAUUGCUACGGAAAAUGUUCCGUCGCGAUUAAGGCUUAUCAUUUGCGACGGAAAAUCUUUGCCGUAGUAAAUUUGUAGUCAAUUGCGACGCCGUUUCCUCUUGCCGUCGCAAAACUUAUUUAUAUAUGUACUUUACAAAAAAAAAAAAAAAAAAAAAAAAUUACGGAAAGAAAGCCGUGGCAACACAUAAACGUCACCGUAUUACUCUGGCGGUAACCCAAAUAAUUUUCCCUCCGUUUUUUCUUUUGUUUUUUUGGCCAAAUGUCCUACUAACAAAACACUCAGCCCUAAUUCUUUUUCCCUCUUUUUCCCAAGGUCUCAAACAUCACCGCGCUCUUUCUCACUCUCGCCCAAACAUCACCCUCUUUCUGAGCUCCGGAACCUCACCGUUCCCGUCGUUCUAAACAUUCUGAUAACCGAAUCUUCUUCUUACCAUCAGCUUACAGCUCCUCGAACGGGAACCUACCGAGGUAUUUGGGCAAUGGCGUGCAGGCCUACUUCUCCUAUCGAGUAAUCAUCAAGCAGCAGGGUCUCUAGUUUUAAAUCGGUUUCUUUUUCCAUUACUAGGAAUCGCUUCCCAUCUCUGACUUCAAGACCUGGACUCUUUCAAGUUUCCUAUUCGUUUAAAACAUCCAUUAGUUAAAAAGGCUGCUCAUCUUCAAGUCAGCAGUGAAGAAUUUGGAAUUAAUUUUGGCAAUCCAAAGCCAAGAGCUUGAUAUUACCAGAAAACUUGCAUCUCACUAUGGAUAAGAGUUGGAUAAACUUAGGCAACAGAUGGUCAAAGAGGGUAGUGUUAAAGAUCGAAUUUUCCACUCUUUGAUGGGAGAUGAUGGUCAUGGGUAUUGUCGUACUUUUGGAGCUGGUGUGCCUCGUAAUCUAGUAUAUCCAAAGGAAUCAAAUAUAUCUCAAAGCACAGAUGAUCUCGUACAAAAAAUCACUGAACAAGUGCGUCAAGAGUUUCAACUGCAGCUUCAGCAACUACAUGCUCGAAUUGAUUUUCUGCAGAAUAAGGACAGUAGCACAUAGUCUCCUAAACAGGUUGCUGAUGCAACUAGCAGGCAUGAAAUUUUGAGGGAGUCUAUAGGAGAUGAAAUAACUCCGAAUGCAAAUAGUGACCAGCCAUUGUUGGAGCAGAAUUCUCCAGUAACAUCCCCUUCACAAAAUGGAUCUGAAAGGGUUCUCAUGGCAAAAAGAGCAAAGCAAAUGAAAGCAAGUGCAAAGCUCACAAAAUGACAAAGUAAAAUGAUGCACUUGUGAUUGUUGUUUUAUUUUAAGAGUGCUUAUUAUAAUGUUCAAUACUUACAAAUGACAUUAUUUUCACUUUAGUAUUUGUAUUUGAAUAUGGUACAAUGAGUCAAUGGAUAUGUUUAAGUAUAUUAUUCAUGAAUUAAUGUUAUUUUGAUUUAAUAGA